UGUGUAGGCUCAGUGGUAGAGCACUUGCCUAGCAUGCGCCAGACCCUGGGUUUUAUCCCCAGCACUGCAAAA
rnacentral:tRNA from 1 species